rnacentral:lncRNA from 1 species
CGCAGCACAAGUUGGGUAUUUCCGAACACGACUCAACGCCAUGGUCAAUUCAACGGUGCCACCUUUUACGAUGACAGUAGCUAAUUUCACCAACACUACUGCAACAGCAGUUAACCAACUGGCAUUGUGCGGUGUGAAAAACGAAGGUUUGAUUGUGCCACUAUCACUCGGAGCCGAGAACCGAACUACCACCAACGUCGUAACGGGUGAUGUCAAUUCCUUAUCACCCCGACGUACUGAGAGGGAGGUGUUGAGGAUCGCAUUUGGAACUGGCAACGCCACCAGGCCCGGUGGAAUUUUCCCAAGUGGUCUCAUUGGGAC